rnacentral:rRNA from 1 species
UACGAAGGGGGCUAGCGUUGCUCGGAAUCACUGGGCGUAAAGGGUGCGUAGGCGGGUCUUUAAGUCAGGGGUGAAAUCCUGGAGCUCAACUCCAGAACUGCCUUUGAUACUGAGGAUCUUGAGUUCGGAAGAGGUGAGUGGAACUGCGAGUGUAGAGGUGAAAUUCGUAGAUAUUCGCAAGAACACCAGUGGCGAAGGCGGCUCACUGGCCCGAUACUGACGCUGAGGCACGAAAGCGUGGGGAGCGAACAGG